AUUGAACGCUGGCGGCAGGCCUAACACAUGCAAGUCGAACGAGUGGCGGACGGGUGAGUAAUGUCUGGGAAUCUGCCUGAUGGAGGGGGAUAACUACUGGAAACGGUCGAUAAUACCGCAUACCCUCGGAUGUGCCCAGAUGGGAGUAGCUAGUAGGUGGGGUAAAGGCUCACCUAGGCGACGAUCCCCAGCUGGUCUGAGAGGAUGACCAGCCACACUGGAACUGAGACACGGUCCAGACUCCUACGGGAGGCAGCAGUGGGGAAUAUUGCACAAUGGGCGCAAGCCUGAUGCAGCCAGGCCGCGUGUAUGAAGAAGGCCUUCGGGUUGUAAAGUACUUUCAGCGGGGAGGCGUUACCCGCAGAAGAAGCACCGGCUAACUCCGUGCCAGCAGCCGCGGUAAUUC
rnacentral:rRNA from 1 species